AAAAAUAUAAGUAAGUAUUUAUUGGAUACCUUGGUAUAUAAUAUGGAACGUUAUGAUCGAUAAUAAAUAGUGAGAAUAAAAAAUUUUUCGUUUGUAGCUAUUUACGAAUGAAUAUCAUGUAUAUGGUGUUCAUUAAUUUCCUUAAUUCAAAUGAAUUGAAACAUCUUAGUAAUUUGAACAAAAGAAAUCAACAGAGAAUCCAAUAGUAGUGGUGAGCGAAUUUGGAUGUAGGGUAUAGUUGGCUUUAUUUGAUUAAAAUUAGAUUGGAAAACUAAACGAUAGAGGUGAAAGUCCUGUAUAAUUAAAUGCCAUUAUAGAGAAAAGUAAAAUGUUGCCAGGCAACAAUAUUUGAAUAAAAUAAUACCACUUUUUAACCCUAAUUAUAUAUUAUAUAACCGAUAGUGUAGAAGUACUGUGAAGGAAAGGUGAAAAGAUCUUUUUAAAAAGAGUAAAAAGACCUUGAAAAUAAAUACUUAAAAGCAUUUGGAGCAAUUUAUAAAAUUGUAACAAUAUACCUUUUGCAUAAUGGGUCAAUGAGUAUAUUUAUAUAGCAAAUAUAAAUCAUUAGAUGUAUAUGUAGUUAAUGCGAAUUACUAAUAGUUAUAUAAAUAUGACCCGAAGCCAAGUGAUCUAUUCAUGAUCAGGUUAAAGGCGUGCGAGACCCGUGCGUUGGAGGACCGAACCCGUGUAUGUUGCAAUAUACUGGGAUGAAUUGUGAAUAGGGGUGAAAGGCUAAUCAAACUUGGAAUAGCUGGUUUUUUGCGAAAUUUAUGGAGGUAAAGUAUUAUUGUUGAUUUUUUUAUUGUAAAGCACUUUAUAACUGAUGGGGAAUUUAUCUUACUGAUGUUAUGAAAACUUUGAAGGUAAAAAAAAUUUAUAAUAGUAAUCGGAAUAAAGGUGAUAAGGUCUUUAUUCGAGAGGGAGACAGCCCUAAUUAUCAAUUAAAGUCUCUAAAUAUUCUCUUAGUGAAAUGAGAAGGCAAAUAAGUUAAAGAUUCAGGAUGUAGGCUUGGAAGCAGCCACCAUUUAAAGAAAGCGUAAAUGCUCACUGAUUUUUUUUAUUUGUUUUUGUAGAUGUAUAGAGCCUCAAGAGAAUUACUGAAAUUAUAAAAUAAUUAUUAGUAGCAAAAUGCUUUGUAUAUGUUAAAGAUAAAUUCAAGAAAUUUAUUACUAUAUCAAAGGCAAUCAUAUUGACAUGAGUAACUUAAAUAAUGUGAGAAACAUUAUCACCGAAAGCCUAAGGGUUUCUAGUAAAAGGAUUAUCCAACUAGAGUUAGUCGAUAUCUAAGAAAAAAACCAACGUUAUUUUCAAUGAAGAUGAGUUUAAAUUUACUCUACCUUUUUAGUAAUGACAAAUGAUUUUUUAUAAACCGCUUAAACGGUUAUUAAUGAGUUGUUUCUGGAAAAAUUACUAAAUUUAUUUGUUUUUAUUAGAGAUCGUACCCGAAACUGACACAAGUAGGCAAGUAGAGUAUACUAAGGUGAUUGAGAUAAUAAUAUUGAAGGAACUCGGCAAAAUAACUCUGUAACUUCGGAAGAAAGAGUUUUUCAGAUAGAUUGUUCUCUAUUUGGAAAAAACAGAACAGGGGAGAACGACUGUUUAUCAAAAACACAGGACUUUGCUAAAUUGAAUAAAUGAAGUAUUAAGUCUGAUGCCUGUCCGGUGCUGUAAUUAAAAAGAGAAAAGUUUAAAAAGCUUUUUUUAUAAUAACCAGUAAACGACGGUCCUAUCUUGAGGAUCCAAAGGUAGCGAAAUUCCUUGUCAUUUAAUUGAUGACCCGCAUGAAUGGCAUAACGAUUUUCCCACUGUCUCCAAUAUUAACUCAGUGAAAUUGAAUUUUCUGUGAAAAUGCAGAGUCUUAGCAGUUAGACGGAAAGACCCUAUGCACCUUUACUAUAAUCAUUUAUUGUAAUUAAUUUGUUAAUUAUAUAGGAUAUAUAUGUGAAUUAAAUUUAUAUUUAUUCAUUCUUGUAAUAGUAUUUUUUUAACGGUUAGUUACUACUUAUUAGUAAUAAGAUAAUAUGAAUGAUUGGUAGUUUGACUGGGGCGGUUGUCACCUAAAUAGUAACGGUGAUGUGCAUAAAGUAAACUUCAACUAUCUUGGUUUUAAAAUAUAAUGGUAUAAGUUUGCUUGACUGUUUAAUAAUCAAAUUUAACAGGAACGUAAGUUGGUCAUAGUGAUCCGGUAAUUCUGAGUGGAAAGAUUAUCGCUCAACGGAUAAAAGGUACGCUAGGGAUAACAGACUAAUGACUUCCCAGAGUCCAUAUCUACGAAGUCGUUUGGUACCUCGAUGUCGGCUCAUCACAUCCUGGAGCUGCAGGUGGUUCCAAGGGUUUAGCUGUUCGCUAAUUAAAGUGGUACGUGAGCUGGGUUCAGAACGGUGAGAACCAGUUCGGUCCCUAUCUGCUGCUAGAUUAAGAAAAUAGAGAGGAACUUUUUUUUAGUACGAAAGGACUGAAAAAAGCAUGCCUAUGGUGUACCAAUUGUAUAUGAGGAUAUAUGCAUCGUUGGGUAGCUACGCAUGUUGGAAUAAUUACUGAAAACAUAUAAGUAAGAAGUCUAUCUCUUUUGUUUUCUAUGAGAUAAGCGAUAGAACAUCGCUGUAUAGGUUAGAAGUGUAAGCAUGGUGACGUGUUUAGCUUACUAAUACUAAUUAUCAAAAAUAUUUUUUU
rnacentral:rRNA from 1 species